rnacentral:lncRNA from 1 species
GUCUAAGUCUUCAGGUACUGCUGCCUUAUGUGUUGGUUGAAGUAUUCCACAUACAGGGUGGUACGGCAACUCAUGGUCCAUAUAGCCUUGAAGCAUAACAUCUUUAUUCGGUGGAAUGCGAACAGUCUUUCCCUCUGCGCAUUUAAUCAAUGCUAACCUGUUGUUUCUCUUGUUGAGUUCUUUCUCUCUGAGUAAAAGGCAUCGAAACGUCAUAUACCAUGGUGUAAUCAAGUUGGCGUU